GUAAAAAUUCAUAAAACCCAAUCCUAAACAUGUUAUUAUUAUAUAAAUACAUAAAUUAUGUGAGUGUGAGUUAAGUUUUAUGACGAUAUUUAAAUCUGCUGCAUUUAUCGAGAUUAUCAUAUUAUUAAUAUUUAAAAUACCCCAUAAAAAGUAUUUUAAAAUAUCAUGGCUCAGUUUCAUUUGGAUAUAAUAUGGAUUUAAAAAAUACGGCACCAUAAUAAUAUUAUAAUUAAAAACAUGCACUUAUUUACUGUGAUCACCUUUGCCUUUGAGAUUUCUGGACGAAGACUGAAAAUAUAUAUCUAAUUAUGUAUUAUGUAUUGGAAUAUGAAAUUAAAUGGAAUAUAGUAUUCAAACAUGUACGUACGUGCAAACGGGGUGCCAUAUAAAAAUCAGUAGCUGAAAUUCGACUAUAUCGAUGUAUGAUAUUAUUAUACUUUUUUAUAUAUUAUUAUUUUAUUAUUGUACAAAAUAUUGUGCCUUAAACGGUGCCUUGAAAUCGGCCUACUAUGUGCCAUAGAGGGCAAUAGCUAAGGAGUAGGUGGCAAUACGGUGUAACAUUAGCUCUUGAUUGGUAGAGAUAGUCAAGAUAAUUUUGAAUUUUUUGAACAGGGUAAAUGAGGGGCAUGGUCAAAUGCCGCGGAUUUUUCAAAUAUAAAAAAUAAAAAAUUUUAUUACGAUAAUUUGAUUACAUAUUAUAUUGGAAAACCGUUUGCCAGACGUCAAAUUAUUUUUAUAAAACCAUCAACAAAAAAUCUUUACUAACCAGGUGACGAAUUUUUCAUUUAAAAUUCAAAUUCUUGUAAACUAUUAGAAAGAAUGAUUUUAAGAUGGAUGUUUUACAUAUUUAAUUAGUAAUAAUGCUAUGCCAGACUGACUUUCGUGGUUUUCAUAAUAAAUAAAUGAAAACUGUUGAUACCAAUAUACCUUAAGUCAAAGUCAGGUCAAAAUCAUUUAUUCAAAGUAGGUACAAUUGUACUCCUUUUGAUGGUCAGAAUUGUUAAUUUGUACGAUAUAGUGUUGAUAAUUAAAUUACGUAACUUAAAACUAAAGCUACGAGGGUUUCAAACCUACCAAUGAGCUAAGUAUUUCACAAUUUCUGCCACCAGCUCUUUAGUUACAAAGGGAACAUCGGUGUACAAAGUAGUGUAUGGAGAUCGAAGAGUCACAAAAAAAUGCCAAACUUUUUUAAAUAUAAUAGUGGAAGAUGUAUAUAGAUACGUAAGACCCACCGGGUUAGUUCGGUUUGUAUAAAACGUUGGUAUCCACCGAAUAAGUUCACUUGAUAGGCCAAAAAUAAGCUUUGUAAAUAUGGCACGGAGUCGAGUGGUUACAUUUAGUAUUGUGGGUCACAUUCUAGAGGUGCAUUCAGAUUAUGUAACAUGUUAUAUAAUACGCCUUUAUUAUAUAACAUGUGUCCAUUUAUGUUAUAUAGUCUGUACGCACCUUAACGUAAUUUUUUUCUUUAAUAAAAUAUUUAUUAGUUUUUAAUUUUAAUAAUGUGACAGUAGCAAAACAUAGUAUUAUUUUAUUGAGCAGAAGAUUGAUACUUUCAAUUAUAUGUCUGAAAUAAAUGCAGAAAAUUUUAUUUGUGAACUCAGUUUAGUAGAGACAGAACUUUUUAAACGAUCGCCGAUUACAUAUUAUAAUUUAUAAUGUAACGUUAAUAAUUCAAAAUGGCGUACACUAUAUUAUUUCUUUCUUAUAUUUACUGAUGUGUGAGUGAGAGGCAACACUAAAUCUAAAAAAGUUAUGAUUCUACUAAAUUGUGAUCUCAAAAGGUUUUCCCUCUUUUGUCAAAACAUCAAAAUAACGUUAACAGUGACUACAGAUUAUACUACAUAGUUAAUUAAUCUUGUUAUAUGUGACACCAAUAUUUAUAUGAAAUUGCUUUAAGAUAGAAAAGUGUGGCUCAUUAUACCUGCCAAAUAUAUUCAUUCCUAGUGAAUUAUACUUUGAUCAAAUCUAUUCCAAAUAUUGGAUUGUUUGGUUUUCUCUAUCAUACUUGUGAAAAAGAUUGAUUAUGUUUGGCCAACUUUUUGAUGUUGGUACUAUUUGGACUUUGUUAUGUGUAACGCUCUGGUUUAAGGAAAAGUAAAGACGGGAUAUGGUGCAAGUAUUUUGAGUUCUUGGCACCGAGAGAAGCUGUUUUUACGUCAGACCAAGCUUCACUUUAACAAACACGUUUUUACCGCUCCGUCUUUCUUUUUUCUUUAGUCUGAGAUGAAAUAUUAUUUUCUGUAAUUCCAUAUUGUAAAAUUGUGUAACUAUUUGAUCUGAAAUUGUACUGAAUGGCGUACAUCUCAAUAUUUCGACCUCGUACGUAAGAAUAUGUGAAUUGUAAGAAUAUAUACUUAGUUUUAAUUGUAAAAAAUUGUAAAUUAUUAUUCUCCUGUACAUAAUACGAGAUUAAAUCUGCAUUCUGAUUAUUUUACAAUUUAAAAUUACUUUAGUUAUAUAAGUAUUUUUUUAUAUAACACAAGCAAUAGAUAGCCCUGUAGUAAGUAGUUAUAUUGUUGCAUUAUUGUAAAAAAGUGUAUAUUUUAUAUAAACAUUUAUGUGAAGUUUAUACAUAGUUUUUUUUUGUAAUUGUUAAACAGGUGAACUUGGAUUUGCCAAAUUAAUUUAAUGUUUUAAUUCUUCCAUUAAAGAAAGGGAUUAUUAUAUUUUGUAAAGAUGCCAAUACGAUGAUAGCAGGUUGAUAUUAAUAAAAAGUGAAAAUAAAAAUAAUAAAUCAAUUAA